rnacentral:rRNA from 1 species
CCUACGGGAGGCAGCAGUGAGGAAUAUUGGUCAAUGGACGAAAGUCUGAACCAGCCAAGCAGCGUGAAGGAUGACUGCUCUCUGGGUUGUAAACUUCUUUUAUAAGGGAAUAAAACGAGGUACGUGUGUCUUUUUGAAUGUACCUUAUGAAUAAGGAUCGGCUAACUCCGUGCCAGCAGCCGCGGUAAUACGGAGGAUCCGAGGGUUAUCCGGAUUUAUUGGGUUUAAAGGGAGCGUAGAUGGGUUGUUAAGUUAGGUGUGAAAGUUCGGGGCUCAACCGUAAAAUUGCAUUUGAUACUGUUGGCCUUGAGUACAGUUGAGGUAGGCGGAAUUCCUGGUGUAGCGGUGAAAUGCUUAGAUAUCACGAAGAACACCGAUUGCGAAGGCAGCCUACUAGACUACCACUGACGUUGAGGCUCGAAAGCGUGGGUAGCAAACAGGAUUAGAUACCCUAGUAGUC